UACGUAGGGUGCGAGCGUUGUCCGGAAUUACUGGGCGUAAAGAGCUCGUAGGUGGUUUGUCGCGUUGUUCGUGAAAACUCACAACUCAAUUGUGGGCGUGCGGGCGAUACGGGCAGACUGGAGUACUGCAGGGGGAGACUGGAAUUCCUGGUGUAGCGGUGGAAUGCGCAGAUAUCAGGAGGAACACCGGUGGCGAAGGCGGGUCUCUGGGCAGUAACUGACGCUGAGGAGCGAAAGCGUGGGGAGCGAACAGG
rnacentral:rRNA from 1 species